rnacentral:rRNA from 1 species
UACGUAGGUGGCAAGCGUUGUCCGGAAUUACUGGGUGUAAAGGGCGUGUAGGCGGGGAUGCAAGUCAGGUGUGAAAAACCAUGGCUCAACUGUGGUCUUGCAUCUGAAACUGUAUUUCUUGAGUACUGGAGAGGGAAGUGGAAUUCCUAGUGUAGCGGUGAAAUGCGUAGAGAUUAGGAGGAACACCAGUGGCGAAGGCGGCUUCCUGGCCAGAGACUGACGCUGAGGCGCGAAAGCGUGGGGAGCAAACAGGAUUAGAUACC